GCGAGUCGACGAUGAAGCCGGAGCUUGCUCUGGAUGGAUUAGUGGCGAACGGGUGAGUAACACGUGAGUAACCUGCCCUUGACUCUGGAAUAAGCGUUGGAAACGACGUCUAAUACUGGAUACGAGCUUCAGCCGCAUGGCUAGGAGCUGGAAAGAAUUUCGGUCAAGGAUGGACUCGCGGCCUAUCAGGUAGUUGGUGAGGUAAUAGCUCACCAAGCCUACGACGGGUAGCCGGCCUGAGAGGGUGACCGGCCACACUGGAACUGAGACACGGUCCAGACUCCUACGGGAGGCAGCAGUGGGGAAUAUUGCACAAUGGGCGCAAGCCUGAUGCAGCAACGCCGCGUGAGGGACGACGGCCUUCGGGUUGUAAACCUCUUUUAGUAGGGAAGAAGCGAAAGUGACGGUACCUGCAGAAAAAGCACCGGCUAACUACGUGCCAGCAGCCGCGGUAAUACGUAGGGUGCAAGCGUUAUCCGGAAUUAUUGGGCGUAAAGAGCUCGUAGGCGGUUUGUCGCGUCUGCUGUGAAAACUGGGGGCUCAACCCCCAGCCUGCAGUGGGUACGGGCAGACUAGAGUGCGGUAGGGGAGAUUGGAAUUCCUGGUGUAGCGGUGGAAUGCGCAGAUAUCAGGAGGAACACCAAUGGCGAAGGCAGAUCUCUGGGCCGUUACUGACGCUGAGGAGCGAAAGCAUGGGGAGCGAACAGGAUUAGAUACCCUGGUAGUCCAUGCCGUAAACGUUGGGAACUAGAUGUAGGGGCCAUUCCACGGUUUCUGUGUCGCAGCUAACGCAUUAAGUUCCCCGCCUGGGGAGUACGGCCGCAAGGCUAAAACUCAAAGGAAUUGACGGGGGCCCGCACAAGCGGCGGAGCAUGCGGAUUAAUUCGAUGCAACGCGAAGAACCUUACCAAGACUUGACAUAUACGAGAACGGGCUAGAAAUAGUCAACUCUUUGGACACUCGUAAACAGGUGGUGCAUGGUUGUCGUCAGCUCGUGUCGUGAGAUGUUGGGUUAAGUCCCGCAACGAGCGCAACCCUCGUUCUUUGUUGCCAGCACGUAAUGGUGGGAACUCAAAAGGAGACUGCCGGGGUCAACUCCGAGGAA
rnacentral:rRNA from 1 species